rnacentral:rRNA from 1 species
GACGAACGCUGGCGGCGUGCCUAAUACAUGCAAGUCGAACGAGUGGCGGACGGGUGCGUAAUGUCUGGGCAACUGCCCGAUGGAGGGGGAUAACUACUGGAAACGGUAGCUAAUACCGCAUACCAUCGGAUGUGCCCUGAGGGGAUUAGCUAGUAGGUGGGGUAACGGCUCACCUAGGCGACGAUCCCUAGCUGGUCUGAGAGGAUGACCAGCCACACUGGAACGGAGACACGGUCCAGACUCCUACGGGAGGCAGCAGUGGGGAAUAUUGCACAAUGGGCGCAAGCCUGAUGAAGCCAUGCCGCGUGUAUGAAGAAGGCCUUCGGGUUGUAAAGUACUUUCAGCGAGGAGGCGGUACUCGCAGAAGAAGCACCGGCUAACUCCGUGCCAGCAGCCGCGGUAAUAC